rnacentral:rRNA from 1 species
AACGAACGCUGGCGGCAUGCCUAACACAUGCAAGUCGAACGAGACCUUCGGGUCUAGUGGCGCACGGGUGCGUAACGCGUGGGAACCUGCCCUUAGGUUCGGAAUAACUCCCCGAAAGGGGUGCUAAUACCGGAUAAUGUCUUCGGACCAAAGAUUUAUCGCCUUUGGAUGGGCCCGCGUUGGAUUAGCUAGUUGGUAGGGUAAAAGCCUACCAAGGCGACGAUCCAUAGCUGGUCUGAGAGGAUGAUCAGCCACACUGGGACUGAGACACGGCCCAGACUCCUACGGGAAGCAGCAGUGGGGAAUAUUGGACAAUGGGCGAAAGCCUGAUCCAGCAAUGCCGCGUGAGUGAUGAAGGCCUUAGGGUUGUAAAGCACUUUUACCCGGGAUGAUAAUGACAGUACCGGGAGAAUAAGCGCCGGCUAACUCCGUG